CCUCCCGGUGCUGGGCCAUCCACAGCACCCCUGGCUCGUCCUCUGCCAGGAUCAGCCCCUUGCAGCAUCUGCUGAGGUUCUCGUCUGGAGCUCAUUAGCUCCAGCAGGCACGAGGAGACCCAAUCAACAUUAUUUAAUUUAUAAACAGGAAGCAGCUGGCCCCUUCUUUGCAUAUGGAGCUAAUUUUAAAAUACAUUCACCCACCCCGGGGUGGGAGGCAGCACAGGUUGGGCAGUGCCCAGCCAAGUGCUCCGAGGGGGUUAUAAAGCAGAGGGUGCUUUCAGGGUGGCUGUUUCCACUCCUUAAAACCAUCUCUGUGUUGCUGUGCUGGUUUGGAGAGCCCCUUUGGGUGCUCAUCUUUAAGUCUUAAUUAUCGGCCAAAGCCCAGAUCCUGGCGAGUGUUUCAUUCCUCAGAGCGAGGCCAUUUGAACUCUGCCAUCGCCGCCUUCAGAGGCAUCAGCCUUGCGCCGAACCUGCUCCAUCGCCAUUAGCAUACGUGGUAAUUUAUACGGCUGUUUUAAUUGAGUGCUCAGACCUCGGGGUCACGUAUGGAAAUUAAACAAUACGAGGAGCGGCUCCAGCCACUUCGGGGGCUGCGAGCGUGCACGCAGACGCCCACACAAGCGCGGAGACCUGGGGAGCAGAAGGAGGAUGCUGAUGGUGUGAGGAAGGAGCCGAGAGGUCCCUGCUGCCCACGAUGGGGUGGAGGAGAUGGAAACACCCCAGGAAAACGCAGGGAAACUGAGGCAAGCUCACUGGUGGCUGCUGCGUUUUGCCCUGCAGAUCCCUGUCUUGGUUUGUUUUCCCUGCUUGGCACCGUUUUGGGAAACGUGCAAAUAAUAAUAAGCAUUAAAUGCUAUAAUACGCCGUGAUCCGAUGACUCAUGGGUUAAUUCUCACUCAAAACCAGACAUUUAUUCCCGGAAUGUAAAACAUUUUAACAAUAUUAGUCGUGAAAAAGGAAUGGGGGCUCUUUUUUGUCAGGAUUGUGUUUUUUAAGUUCCAUUAAUUCUUUGUUCAAUUGAUGCAUAUUCAAAACGGUAUAAGUGGGGCCCUCACUGCUUCAAUUAGCAUUAAUGCACAAUUAUUUUUCUCCAUAUUUAUGCUGCUCUUUGCAGGGCACGGUUUUUGGUUGUUGUUGUUGCUGGGCUUUUUUAACAUUUGUAUGUUAAUUCAGCGUUUAAAAGAUCUUCUCCCCAAA